AACAUGGAGGCAGCUGUUCAGUCCUGAUGCUCAGAGAAAUGGGACUGAGAGGAGACACAUCCACAAAGGCACACCUUGAAGAUGCUGAGGACUCUGUUCCAGACCACCACGUACAGCAAAUAUCGCAAUAAAGGCAUGUGUAUUAUUUAGUCUCUCCAACAACUUCAUUACUCCAUUUUUCAUAUGCUCUCUAUGAAGGUCCAAAGACUAAGAAGACCCAUCUGUGAUACAUCACUUCUCCUUGGUCAAAUACUACCCAGCAAAGUUUGAAGAAGAGUUUGACAAAGUCUAUAAGUCAAACAACCAGAGCUUGAGCAGAAGCAAUUGACUUUAAGCCAAAUUCCAUGCCAUCCACAGAACUAAGAGAAAAGGGAAUGCCAAAACUUUAUUCAGAAGUAAGAGACUCAUCAACAACUGCCUGGACCAUAUUCAGAAGACAGGGGUCCAUCAACGAAAUCCCAAGAAUCUGGUUAUUUGAAAAAAGAAUUCUCCAUGUAUGAGCCAAUUUGUAACUAGCCAUUCGGAUUUUGCUAAGCCCAUAACUGACAUUCUGAACGUUUUUUUCCCUCCUUUCCCUGUUUCUAUAAAACCAGUACAAGCCCCUAUAUCGGGGAGAUGUGUUUGAGCUUUUUCUCCUGUCUCCUUACUGGUUGACCUUGCAAUAAACUCUUUCUCCCCUCAA